rnacentral:rRNA from 1 species
GAUGAACGCUGGCGGCGUGCCUAAUACAUGCAAGUCGAGCGAAUGGAUUGAGAGCUUGCUCUUAUGAAGUUAGCGGCGGACGGGUGAGUAACACGUGGGUAACCUGCCCAUAAGACUGGGAUAACUCCGGGAAACCGGGGCUAAUACCGGAUAACAUUUUGAACCGCAUGGUUCGAAAUUGAAUGGCGGCUUCGGCUGUCACUUAUGGAUGGACCCGGGUCGCAUUAGCUAGUUGGUGAGGUAACGGCUCACCAAGGCAACGAUGCGUAGCCGACCUGAGAGGGUGAUCGGCCACACUGGGACUGAGACACGGCCCAGACUCCUACGGGAGGCAGCAGUAGGGAAUCUUCCGCAAUGGACGAAAGUCUGACGGAGCAACGCCGCGUGAGUGAUGAAGGCUUUCGGGUCGUAAAACUCCGUUGUUAGGGAAGAACAAGUGCUAGUUGAAUAAGCUGGCACCUUGACGGUACCUAACCAGAAAGCCACGGCUAACUACGUGCCAGCCGCCGCGGUAA